CCCCCGGUCCAGCGCGGCGGUCCGGGCGCGAACCGGGUCAGGUCCGGAAGGAAGCAGCCCUAAGGGCCACGGGUCGGGCGCCGCUGGGCAACCGGGGGCGU
rnacentral:SRP_RNA from 1 species